rnacentral:rRNA from 1 species
UACAGAGGGGGCAAGCGUUGUUCGGAAUUACUGGGCGUAAAGGGCGCGUAGGCGGCCUGUUAAGUCGAACGUGAAAUCCCCGGGCUCAACCCGGGAACUGCGUCCGAUACUGGCAGGCUUGAAUUCGGGAGAGGGAUGUGGAAUUCCAGGUGUAGCGGUGAAAUGCGUAGAUAUCUGGAGGAACACCGGUGGCGAAGGCGGCAUCCUUGACCGGUAUUGACGCUGAGGCGCGAAAGCCAGGGGAGCAAACGGG